CUGCGGUAAUACGUAGGGGGCGAGCGUUAUUCGGAAUUACUGGGUGUAAAGGGUAUGUAGGCGGCCCUUCAAGUCGCGUGUCAAAGUCCAGUGCUCAACGCUGGGUGUGCGCGCGAUACUGACGGGCUUGAGGGCUGGAGAGGUGAGCGGAAUUCCCGGUGUAGUGGUAAAAUACGUAGAGAUCGGGAGGAACGCCAGCGGCGCAGGCGGCUCACUAGACAGUUUCUGACGCUAAGAUACGAAAGCGUGGGGAGCAAAC
rnacentral:rRNA from 1 species